rnacentral:rRNA from 1 species
UACGUAGGGACCAAGCGUUGUUCGGAUUUACUGGGCGUAAAGGGCGCGUAGGCGGCGCGGUAAGUCACUUGUGAAAUCUCUGAGCUUAACUCAGAACGGCCAAGUAUACUGCAGUGCUAGAGUGCAGAAGGGGCGAACUGGAAUUCUUGGUGUAGCGGUGAAAUGCGUAGAUAUCAAGAGGAACACCUGAGGUGAAGACGGGUUGCUGGGCUGACACUGACGCUGGGGCGCGAAAGCUAGGGUAGCAAACGGGG